GAUGACAUAGAUGGCAGGGCGAUGGCGUUGAGGAGGCUGUCAACAUCUCGGAGUUCUUCCCAUGUGCAAGGCAGGGUGCUGAGCCUGUGAUGCGUAUGUAUGAAGCCGUGUCAUGCUCACCACUCCCCUAUUGAGCAGUGUGCGAUCCCCAACCUCUGAUGUUACACGGAACCAGCUACCCAACGAGUUGUUUUUUACAUUUCCCUUUUGGUGUUCUAUUUAUCUGGCCUUAAACAGGCCUGGCUGAGAAUAUUUAAAAUCAGAGAACGCACGGCUGGACACAAGGCAAACCGUAUUCCACACGCGCAUUUGCUUAGGAGCAGAGUUCAGCAACGUGACGCUGCCUCCCAAGGGCUUGGGUUGUUCCCCCAUCCUCUCUCCACGACUCCGUCCCACCUUCCCAGUACUUAAAAGACGACGGCAGUAACCAACAAUGAAUGCCCCAGCUCAGGAGAGCAGCUUUGUGACCGGAAGGCCACGGCUUCCAGGAGCCUGAGGAGGGAAGGUCAGCCCUGAGGAGGGAACAGCACAAGCCAGGCUCGCGUGUUGACAUGAAGGGUUCUCUGAGCCCAGCCUGAGCAAAUACUAACACACACCGCCUGUGCUGGCUACUGUCUAGCAGCCACUGGUCCCGAAACUCCACACAGUCAGGCCAUCUCUGAAGCCGCCAACACGCACCUACCUUCUGGGCAAGAACACGAAUCUGUCAUUUGCACUCGUGUAUUUGCAAUCGGUGCGAACACUCACAGUCUCUAUGCUGCAUGUGGGGAACACGCAGCCAUUUCAACUAUGAAAAAAAAGAAGACGGCAGACAACAGUUUAAAAAAAGGAGACCAGGAGCAUCAUAUUUCACUGAGUAAAUUGACAAAAGGUCAAAAAGCUUGAUCUUGGCCACUGAUGUGCUUGGUCUGAAAGCUAAACUGCCACUUAAAUAUUCAUAGGCAAGCGCGGUAGCUGCAGCCUCCGGUUGCCCUGAGUCCACAGAGGAGCAAGGCUGGGGCCAUUUUAUGAGAAAAAACAAGCUCCCUCCCGAGCCGGGUUCUGGGCAGGAGAGGACUCUGCUCCUGCAACCAGCCCGCACCCGCUGAGCCUUCGUUGCUGUGUCCUGUAUCCCAGAAGAAUGUGAGUGAUGGUCUUGCACAGGGAGGCGGGUGGCAAUAGACCAGGCGGAGAUGCAAGUGCACAACGUGAGAAAAAAUGCUGAAACUCUCGGCUCUAAACCAUGCUCUUGGCAUCCUCACCUCACUCAAUCUCCCUUCCUCCACCAUGCCAACCUCCCUUCCUCCACCAUGCCAACCUCCCUUCCUCCACCAUGCCAGCCUCCCUCCCUCCACCAUGCCAGCACAGGGACUCCCCGUAAAUCAUCUUCAUCCCCCUUUGUGGAAAGACUGAAGAUCUGUAUAUGACAAGGUCAAGAGUGGGCUCACCCAGUGCUAUCCAAGAGAAACACCGUGUCAGCCACCUGCAUAACUUUACACUGUCUAGUGGUCACCUUAAAAAAAGUGGAAAGUAACAGAUAAAACUAAUUUUCAUAUUUUAUUUCACUCAAUGUAUCCGAAAUAUUACCAUUUCAACAUGGAAUGAAUAAUUAAAAUUAUUAAUGUCGGCCGGGUGCGGUGGCUUAUGCCUGUAAUCCCAGCACUCUGGGAGGCCAAGGCAGGUGGAUCACGAGGUCAGGAGAUCGAGACCAUCCUGGCUAACACGGUGAAACCCCAUCUCUACUAAAAAUACAAAAAA
ensembl:lncRNA novel transcript